rnacentral:rRNA from 1 species
GCGGCCUAUCAGCUUGUUGGUGAGGUAAUGGCUCACCAAGGCGACGACGGGUAGCCGGCCUGAGAGGGCGACCGGCCACACUGGGACUGAGACACGGCCCAGACUCCUACGGGAGGCAGCAGUGGGGAAUAUUGGGCAAUGGAGGAAACUCUGACCCAGCGACGCCGCGUGCGGGAUGAAGGCCUUCGGGUUGUAAACCACUUUCAGUAGGGAAGAAGCGAAAGUGACGGUACCUACAAAAGAAGCACCGGCUAACUAUGUGCCAGCAGCCGCGGUAAUACAUAGGGUGCAAGCGUUGUCCGGAAUUAUUGGGCGUAAAGAGCUCGUAGGUCGUUUGUUACGUCGGAUGUGAAAACCUGAGGCUCAACCUCAGGCCUGCAUUCGAUACGGGCAAACUAGAGUUUGGUAGGGGAGACUGGAAUUCCU